GGGGGCUGUAGCACUGGCCACAGUGCUCUUCAGUACACCCUAGCUGAAUGCUCCAUAAAGUCGCACUGAUGGCAGUUUGGAGAUGGCCAUCUGUCGUCAACUCUGGGCCAGACAAAAAAAUAAUGUAACGGCAGAUCGCUAACAACAGGGCUGUUGUAGGAGGGAAUGAGUCCUCGAACGGGAAGGUGGUGCUCCAUCUUUUAAUAGCGAAAACCAGCCAUCGAUAUGAACAUCAAGAAAUUAAUGGAUGGAGAAUUUUAAAAAACUGAGCUGGGGUGCCGUAGAAUCCACUCAAAGAAAUAGGACCAUAAAACUGGAGCAACAAUUAAGCUGUGGUGUGAAAAACAGGCGUUGGAAUCAGGUUGCUUUGGUGGGAAAGUGAUUUGAGAAGAUCAAACAGCUGUAGAGACAAUUACAUAUUUAAACUUUAAUGAUAUCUCGAAGUCGUGGUGUAUCCCUCGGAAUGUCCAAUCACUGCUGUGUUUUGUAUGCGGAAAAUACUGCAUCCAUGAAUUAAUGAAAGGAAGGGCAAGGACCACAAUAAUCUUUGACUCAAAAGGAAGUGAAAUACCAGAAUCUCAAAGCCUCCCUCUCAUCUAGGCCAAUUCCCUCCCUUCCCACCGCUGGAAUUCCCUCUACGUCCAUUAAAUUCACAACACGAUGCCUCAGAGAACUUUCUAUGGGGACACAUUGGAAGAGGAUGAUUUGAUCACUGCCAUUGAAUUGUAGUUUUUCUAGAGGCACUAAUUAAACAGUAAUUACUGUAUUGAAAGAAAGUGGCCUAUUCAACGGAAUUUUUACGCCACUCGCUCACACCUGUAUAAACCACUUUGGAUACAAAUAUGCAUUGUAGGAUAUUAUUCUUGGACCAUACUAUCCUUUUUUGCAAAGCAGCUUCCUUAAGUUCCACAGGAAGAAAAAAAAAAAAGUUUUGAGGUCUACUAGGAAAACAUGUGAAACAUUCAACAUAUUCAUUUGCUUUUAAAAUAACAAAAUGUUCAUUUAGUUCCAAUAAGGCACUCCUAUGCCAAAGCACCUCUUCCCUACCAGCAUGCUAGGUGGCCUCUGACGUAUAUUAGAAUUCCUGGCAAGAACCCUACCAGGAUUUUUACAUUAUACAUUGCUGGUCUGGCAUCGAGAACUUCUGGUCAGAAAGGUUUAGGGGUCAUAUGAAAACCUUAGCUUCCACAGUGUUAAGUCCUAGACUGAGUGUUCCACAGAACCAAGUUCCAUCUUGCUUAAUUCUAAAAGGAAUUGUGGUGGGACUUCCCACGUAAGAAUCCAAAUGCCGCUGCUUAAGAUGCUGGGGAGACAAGGGUUGGAUCCCCGGCUGGCACAGUGGGUUGAAGUAGCUGGCACUGCUGCAGCUGUGGUGGUGUAGGUCACAGCUGUGGCUUGCAUUCAAUCCCUGACCCAGGAACUCAUGGUGUGGGUGCUGAAGGUGUGGCUGAAAAAUUUUUUAAAAUAACAUCAAUCAAUCAAUCAAUCAUCAAUGAAAGGAACUGUGGUCUGUGAUGUCAAAGGAUGGCACCCAAAGAGUCCUGGAAUUCCUGAAGAUAGACAGCAUAUUGCAAGGAAUUAUCUGAAUUCUGCCUGGUAUUAUAGGUAAUGAUGAUGAAAAUAGCGCACCUCUUUGUCAGUGUGCGCAUGUGUGGGUGUAUGUAAUUUCAUCCCCAACAAAGCACUUCUAUCUUCAAAAAGAUGCUAUGGUGUUUUUAACUGGGUAUAAACAGUGAAAGGGAUGUAAAUUACUCCCCAUGGUCAUGAAAUCACCUGCGCAUCAUUACAAGAUACACCACGGUGAUGUUCCUGGGCAAUUCUGAACGCUCGUCCUGCUUAGCCUACUAUUUUCACUCUGAUUUAAGAGCCAAAUAAACUAUAUGCUUUCAAAUCUCCA
rnacentral:lncRNA from 1 species